GACGAACCGUGCGAACGUUAUUCGGAAUCACUGGGCUUAAAGCGCGUGUAGGCGGGACGGCACGUCGGUCGCUGAAAUCCCCCGGCUCAACCGGGGAACGGGCGCCGAUACGACCGCCCUGGAGGGACGUAGGGGGGACCUGGAACUUCCGGUGGAGCGGUGAAAUGCGUUGAGAUCGGAAGGAACGCCCGUGGCGAAAGCGAGGUCCUGGACGUUUCUGACGCUGAGACGCGAAAGCCAGGGAGCGAACGGG
rnacentral:rRNA from 1 species